rnacentral:lncRNA from 1 species
AAAGUUUGCAACAUCAAAAUUUACGUUUUACAACAUUUUAAAACAUAUAGUCGUAAUAUAUUAAAAAUACUAUUGCAACAUUCUAAAAGUAUAUUUUUAUUGAAAAUAUCAGUAAAAUAAAUAUAAUUAGUUAAUUAGACUAGAAAGGUGCAACGUGAAAAAAUAACUAUUGAAACAUCUAAGAUACAUUUUUGCAACAUUCCAAAAUAGUUGUUGAAACUUCCCGUCACAUGUCUUACAUCCCGAAAAUAACCACCUCAACAUCACAUAUUAACUGAAAUCCCUUACAACAUCACCAUACAACUAUCGCAACAAAAACACACACAAAAAAUUCCCAUGGCAGCAUCCGUCCUUGGAGUUGGACGGUCUCCCCUGCUGCAAUAUCAUCACGUGUCUAUCGUAACAAAAUCACACGUUAAGAAUUCCCACCACAACAUUGUCGCUGGGUUGGGGCGUACGAGUUUUUGUUGAGGCACGGACGUCCCGACCCAAGUAUAACCGAUAGAAAAUUAGUCUUCGCAAGAUUUCUAUGAGCAUAAGUUUUUAUUUUACUAUUACGUGCAUCUCCACUAGUUCAUGUAAGUGUGCUACAUGGAUACUAGAUAACCACUCCGUACAAGUUCAUUCCAUCAGAGAGGUAGAGCAUUGGGCUGCGCCACGUGCCCCCAUCUGUACACCUCCUCCUACUUGUACUUCUCGAAAAAGGCCGCUUUGGUAGAACGGUAAAGGCUUGGGAGCAUCAUCAUGAUCGCC